rnacentral:rRNA from 1 species
ACGGGAGGCAGCAGUGAGGAAUAUUGGUCAAUGGGCGGAAGCCUGAACUAGCCAAGUAGCGUGCAGGAUGACGGCCCUAUGGGUUGUAAACUGCUUUUGUCAGGGAGUAAAAAGGAUUACGUGUAAUCCAUUGCAUGUACCUGAAGAAUAAGGACCGGCUAAUUCCGUGCCAGCAGCCGCGGUAAUACGGAAGGUCCGGGCGUUAUCCGGAUUUAUUGGGUUUAAAGGGAGCGCAGGCGGCCUUUUAAGCCUGUUGUGAAAUGUAGUGGCUCAACCUCUGCACUGCAGCGCGAACUGGAGGGCUUGAGUACGCGGGAGGUAGGCGGAAUUCGUCGUGUAGCGGUGAAAUGCUUAGAUAUGGCGAAGAACACCGAUUGCGAAGGCAGCCUACUGUAGCGUUACUGACGCUAAAGCUCGAAAGUGUGGGUAUCGAACAGGCUUAGAUACCCUGGUA